rnacentral:tRNA from 1 species
GGGAGUGUAGCUGAGUGGUUUAGCACCCGCCUGUUAAGCGGACACACGUAGGUUCGAACCCUACCAUUCCCG